UCUCAGUUCGGACUGGAGUCUGCAACCCGACUCCACGAAGCUGGAUUCGCUAGUAAUCGCGCAUCAGCCACGGCGCGGUGAAUACGUUCCCGGGCCUUGUACACACCGCCCGUCAAGCCAUGGGAGCCGGGGUACCUGAAGUGCGUAACCGCGAGGAGCGCCCUAGGGUAAAACUGGUGACUGGGGCUAAGUCGUAACAAGGUACC
rnacentral:rRNA from 1 species